UGGCUCAGGAUGAACGCUGACAGAAUGCUUAACACAUGCAAGUCUACUUGAUCCUCGGGUGAAGGUGGCGGACGGGUGAGUAACGCGUAAAGAACUUGCCUUACAGACUGGGACAACAUUUGGAAACGAAUGCUAAUACUGGAUAUUAUGAUUGGGUCGCAUGAUCUGGUUAUGAAAGCUAUAUGCGCUGUGAGAGAGCUUUGCGUCCCAUUAGUUAGUUGGUGAGGUAACGGCUCACCAAGACGAUGAUGGGUAGCCGGCCUGAGAGGGUGAACGGCCACAAGGGGACUGAGACACGGCCCUUACUCCUACGGGAGGCAGCAGUGGGGAAUAUUGGACAAUGGACCAAAAGUCUGAUCCAGCCAAUUCUGUGUGCACGAUGAAGUUUUUCGGAAUGUAAAGUGCUUUCAGUUGGGAAGAAGUCAGUGACGGUACCAACAGAAGAAGCGACGGCUAAAUACGUGCCAGCCGCCGC
rnacentral:rRNA from 1 species